rnacentral:rRNA from 1 species
AUUGAACGCUGGCGGCAUGCUUUACACAUGCAAGUCGAACGGCAGCACGGGAGCUUGCUCCUGGUGGCGAGUGGCGAACGGGUGAGUAAUGCAUCGGAACGUACCCAGUAGUGGGGGAUAGCCCGGCGAAAGCCGGAUUAAUACCGCAUAUUUCCUGAGGGAGAAAGCGGGGGACCUUCGGGCCUCGCGCUACUGGAGCGGCUGAUGUCGGAUUAGCUAGUUGGUGAGGUAAAGGCUCACCAAGGCGACGAUCCGUAGCUGGUCUGAGAGGAUGAUCAGCCACACUGGGACUGAGACACGGCCCAGACUCCUACGGGAGGCAGCAGUGGGGAAUUUUGGACAAUGGGGGCAACCCUGAUCCAGCCAUGCCGCGUGAGUGAAGAAGGCCUUCGGGUUGUAAAGCGUCUUUCAGGUGGAAAGGAAAUACACUACCCCGAACUAACGGGUGGUGGAGUGACGGUACCGAUCAGAAGAAGCACCGGCUAACUACGU